AUGAACGCUGGCGGCGUGCCUAAUACAUGCGAGUCGAGCGAACAGACGAGGAGCUUGCUCCUCUGACGUUAGCGGCGGACGGGUGAGUAACACGUGGAUAACCUACCUAUAAGACUGGGAUAACUUCGGGAAACCGGAGCUAAUACCGGAUAAUAUAUUGAACCGCAUGGUUCAAUAGUGAAAGACGGUUUUGCUGUCACUUAUAGAUGGAUCCGCGCCGCAUUAGCUAGUUGGUAAGGUAACGGCUUACCAAGGCAACGAUGCGUAGCCGACCUGAGAGGGUGAUCGGCCACACUGGAACUGAGACACGGUCCAGACUCCUACGGGAGGCAGCAGUAGGGAAUCUUCCGCAAUGGGCGAAAGCCUGACGGAGCAACGCCGCGUGAGUGAUGAAGGUCUUCGGAUCGUAAAACUCUGUUAUUAGGGAAGAACAAAUGUGUAAGUAACUAUGCACGUCUUGACGGUACCUAAUCAGAAAGCCACGGCUAACUACGUG
rnacentral:rRNA from 1 species